rnacentral:rRNA from 1 species
CCUACGGGAGGCAGCAGUGAGGAAUAUUGGUCAAUGGGCGGAAGCCUGAACCAGCCAAGUAGCGUGCGGGAUGAAGGCCCUACGGGUCGUAAACCGCUUUUGCACGGGGAUAACACCCUCCACUUGUGGAGGUCUGCAGGUACCGUGCGAAUAAGGGCAGGCUAAUUCCGUGCCAGCCGCCGCGGUAAUACGACAGGCCCGAGCGUUAUCCGGAUUAUUUGGGCUUAAAGGAAAAGUAGGCGGGCGUUAAAGUCAGCGGUAAAAUCGCGCGGCUCACCCGCGCCCCGCAGUUGAAACUGGACGCCUUGAGUGCACAACAGGCAGGUGGAAUUCGUGGUGGAGCGGUGAAAUGCAUAGAUAUCACGAGGAACCCCGAUGGCGAAGGCAGCCUGCCGGGGUGCGACUGACGCUGAGGCUCGAAGGUGCGGGUAUCAAACAGGAUUAGAUACCCCAGUAGUC